GUUGUUGCAGUUAAAAAGCUCGUAGUUGAAUUUCGGGAUCAAUGUUUCGGUCAUGCCGUUGGUAUGUACUGAUAUUAUUGAUUUCUCACCUUCUAAAGAACCGUAAUGCCAUUAAUUUGGUGUCACGGGGAAUUAGGACUGUUACCUUGAAAAAAUUAGAGUGUUUAAAGCAGGCUCACGCUUGAAUACAUUAGCAUGGAAUAAUGAAAUAGGACAACCGAUUCUAUUUUGUUGGUUUCUAGGAUCGAUGUAAUGAUUAAUAGGGAUAGUUGGGGGCAUUAGUAUUCAAUUGUCAGGGGUGAAAUUCUUGGAUUUAUUGAAGACUAACUACUGCGAAAGCAUUUGCCAAGGAUGUUUUCAUUAAUCAAGAACGAAAGUUAGGGGAUCGAAGACGAUCAGAUACCGUCGUAGUCUUAACCAUAAACUAUGCCGACUAGGGAUCGGAUGAUGUUAAUUUUUUAAUGACCCAUUCGGCGCCUUACGGGAAAC
rnacentral:rRNA from 1 species